GUAGAUUAAAGUCCGCUGGUUUGGAUAAUUAGUUGUUAACUAAAAUAUUACGGGAUCGAGGCCCGUUAGUCUAGU
rnacentral:tRNA from 1 species